ensembl:snoRNA SNORD116 Small nucleolar RNA SNORD116
GGAUCAAUGAUGAAUUAAAAAAUGGGUAUCAUUGGAAUCUGAAAAAAAUGAGUGACAGAAACACUUCUGUGAGCUGAGGUCU